rnacentral:rRNA from 1 species
GAUGAACGCUGGCGGCGUGCCUAAUACAUGCAAGUCGAGCGAACGGACGAGAAGCUUGCUUCUCUGAUGUUAGCGGCGGACGGGUGAGUAACACGUGGAUAACCUACCUAUAAGACUGGGAUAACUUCGGGAAACCGGAGCUAAUACCGGAUGAUAUUUUGAACCGCAUGGUUCAAAAGUGAAAGACGGUCUUGCUGUCACUUAUAGAUGGAUCCGCGCUUCAUUAGCUAGUUGGUAAGGUAACGGCUUACCAAGGCAACGAUGCAUAGCCGACCUGAGAGGGUGAUCGGCCACCAUGGAACUGAGACACGGUCCAGACUCCUACGGGAGGCAGCAGUAGGGAAUCUUCCGCAAUGGGCGAAAGCCUGACGGAGCAACGCCGCGUGAGUGAUGAAGGUCUUCGGAUCGUAAAACUCUGUUAUUAGGGAAGAACAUAUGUGUAAGUAACUGUGCACAUCUUGACGGUACCUAAUCAGAAAGCCACGGCUAACUACGU